AUUAAUUAAUUCUUAGUUAAAAGUAAUAGUUUUAUUUAAAGUUUACAUGUAAACUUUAGUGAGUUUAAUUUUAUUUUCUAAAAGAAAUAAAAAAAAUUAGAUUAUUCGCAGUUUUUGAUCUUAGUUGAUUAAUAAAUGUUAGAUCUAUUUAUUGAUUUUGUGAUUAGCUAAAAGUGUGCCAGCAGCUGCGGUUAUACACUUAAUCAAAAUUAUUUUAAUCUGUUUAUAAUUACUUAUAUUUAUGGACUAAAAUAUAUAAUUUUUAGGGUGAAAUCUAAAAUUAGUAUUGUUUCUAGGUAAGGAUUUUAUGAAAUUUUUAUAUAAACUAGGAUUAGAUACCCUAUUAUUUUAAAUGUAAAUCUAAAAUAGUAUUAAUAGAUAUGUUCUUUAAAUUAAAAAGAAUUGACGGUAAUUUAAUCUGUUCAGAGGAGCCUGUAUUUUAAUCGAUGAUCCACGAUAAAUUUUACCUCAAAAGAUGAGUUUGUAUAUCUCUGUCUUAAGAAUGUUUUAUUAGAAUUAUUUUCAAACUUUUAUUUUAAAAAUAUGUCAGGUCAAGGUGCAGUUUUUUGAGGGUUUUAUGGGCUACAUUUAUUUAUAAUUUUGGAAAAUGAGUUGUAUAACUUAUUUAAAAUUGGAUUUGAUUGUAAUUUUUAUUAUUUAUUAUUUGUGAUAUUUGCUCUAGAUUAAGUACAUAUCGCCCGUCACUCUUGUUUAUAAGAUAAGAUAAGUCGUAACAAAGUAGGCUUAUCGGAAGAUGAGCCUGGAAUUAAUU
rnacentral:ncRNA from 1 species